GCCUGGGUGGCUCAGUCAAUUGAGCAUCUGACUUCAGCUCAGCUCGUGACCUUGUGGUUCAUGGGUUCAAGCCCCGCAUCAGGCU
rnacentral:tRNA from 1 species